rnacentral:misc_RNA from 1 species
CAACCCUCAAGCUCGGCUUGUGUGAUGGGCGAACGUCCUACCUUUAGGGGCGGGACGCGUCCGAAAAGCAGUGGCUAGGCCGCGACUUCGGCGCCUGAGCGAAUGGGACUUCCAGCGCUUCUAGGACCGGCCGGCACUUGGCCUUUAACCAAAGUCCUCACGGACUCUUUUA